AUGGCAGUUCUGCUGAAAACAGCGUCAGUCCGGGUUAGUUUCAUUCAAAUCAUGCAAGUUAGAGUCCAAAACAAGGGCAAAAGUGUUUUGGAAAGUAGAUACGUUGGAGACGUAUCAACUCCCCCAAGCUUAAACCUUUGCUUCUCAAGCAAUUCAGUUGAUAAACUGAAAGUGAUAAAGAAAAACUUUUACAAACUCUGUUGCUCUUCUUUUUGUAACAUGAAAAGCCAGCAUUCAAGUUUCAGCAAAUAUUAUGAACUAACCAUACUCACAAUAACACAUAGGUCUCACAAUUACUCAUAUCAAUAG
rnacentral:rRNA from 1 species